rnacentral:rRNA from 1 species
GUGUAAGUACACGCCUUAGUAUGGUGAAACUGCGAAUGGCUCAUUAAAUCAUAUGUGAUUUCUUAGAUCGUUGCGUCCUUUCGGGGACGACUGGAUAACUGUGGCAAUUCUAGAGCUAAUACAUGCAAUCAAGCUCCGACCUCACGGGACGAGCGCUCUUAUUAGACCAAGGCCAACCUGCUAGUUCGCGCUGGCAGUUUGCUGUGGUGACUCUGGAUAAAGCUCAGUUAAUCGCAUGACCUUUGCGUCGGCGAUGUAUCUUUCAAGCGUAUGCCCUAUCAGCUGUCGACGGUAGGGUAGCGGCCUACCGUGGCAAUUACGGGUAACGGGGGAUCAGGGUCCGAUCCCGGAGAGUAAGCCUGAGAGACGGCUUAUACAUCUAAGGAAGGCAGCAGGCGCGCAAAUUACCCAAUGGGGACACCCUGAGGUAGUGACAAGAAAUAACAAUACGCGACUCUUUCGAGGCCGCGUAAUUGGAAUGAGCACAUUCUAAAUCCUUUAGCGAGGAUCAAUUGGAGGGCAAGUCUGGUGCCAGCAGCCGCGGUAAUUCCAGCUCCAAUAGCGUAUAUUAAAGUUGCUGCAGUUAAAAAGCUCGUAGUUGACAUCCGACGCUCGUCUCGGCGGUCCUGUUCACGCAGGCACUGCCUUGACGGCAUCUACACACUGGCUUGCGGUCGUGCACGCUCGGCGACGGGUAGCACAGAUCGGAGCCCCGGGUGCCCUUCAUUGGGUGCCCGCGGGUGGCCUUUGCGUUUACUUUGAAGAAAUUAGAGUGUUCAAAGCGGGCUCUUGACAGCUCGUAUACUCGGUACAUGGAAUAAUGGAAUAGGACCCUGGUUCAUUUCCGUUGGUCUAUGGGCAAUGGGUAAUGAUUAAAAGGGACUGCCGGGGGCAUUGGUAUGGCGGGGGG